UCUCUGAUAGUAUAUCGGUUAGUACACGCGCCUGUCAUGCAUAAUUUCGUGCACAACGCGCGAAAGCUGGGUUCGACUCCCAGUCAGAGAG